rnacentral:rRNA from 1 species
UGGGGAAUCUUGGACAAUGGGCGCAAGCCUGAUCCAGCCAUGCCGCGUGAAGGAUGAAGUAUUUCGGUAUGUAAACUUCGAAAGAAUAGGAAGAAUAAAUGACGGUACUAUUUAUAAGGUCCGGCUAACUACGUGCCAGCAGCCGCGGUAAUACGUAGGGACCAAGCGUUGUUCGGAUUUACUGGGCGUAAAGGGCGCGUAGGCGGCAUGACAAGUCACUUGUGAAAUCUCUGGGCUUAACCCAGAACGGCCAAGUGAUACUGUCGCGCUAGAGUGCAGAAGGGGCAAUCGGAAUUCUUGGUGUAGCGGUGAAAUGCGUAGAUAUCAAGAGGAACACCUGAGGUGAAGACGGGUUGCUGGGCUGACACUGACGCUGAGGCGCGAAAGCCAGGGGAGCAAACGGGAUUAGAUACCCCAGUAGUCCCUGAGCGGGCUGGCAAGGCGCAU